AAUUAAUCUGUAGGUCAAAAGUUCUUUGACAUAUUGGGAAAUGCAAGUUGUAUGCGAGUAGUAAUACUUAAAUACUAAAUUUUUUAAAGCGAAUAAGAGCGCAUGGUGGAUGCCUAGGAUCUAAGAGGCGACGAAGGACGUGGUAAGCUGCGAUAAGCUACGGGGAGAUGCAAACGAUCGUUACAUCCGUAGAUUUCCGAAUGGGACAACCCAGUACACUGAAGGUGUAUUACUCCGUAAGGAGAGCCAACGCAGGGAACUGAAACAUCUAAGUACCUGUAGGAAAAGAAAAUAAAUUAAUGAUUCCCUAAGUAGUGGCGAGCGAACGGGGAAGAGCCCAAACCGGAUCGAAGCAAUUCUAUCCGGGGUUGUAGGACUACUUUUAGAAAGUCAGAUCAAGUUGAAUCAUCUGGAAAGAUGAACCGUAGCAGGUGAAAGUCCUGUAGGCAUAAAUUCUGAUGGACGUGUAGUAUCCUGAGUAGUGCGGGACCGGAGAAAUCCUGUAUGAAACUGCCAGCACCAUCUGGUAAGGCUAAAUACUCCUUAGAUACCGAUAGUGAACCAGUACCGUAAGGGAAAGGUGAAAAGUACUCCGAACAGGAGAGUGAAAUAGUUCCUGAAACCGUGCGCUUACAAGCGGUCGGAGCCUGGUAACGGGUGACGGCGUGCCUUUUGCAUAAUGAGCCUACGAGUUACUCCUCACUGGCAAGGUUAAGGUCUUCAGUACCGGAGCCGUAGCGAAAGCGAGUUCUAACAGAGCGAAUCAGUCAGUGGGGGUAGACGCGAAACUUUGUGAUCUAUCCAUGGGCAGGAUGAAGGUUAGGUAAAACUAACUGGAGGUCCGAACUCAUUAGCGUUGAAAAGCUAUGGGAUGACCUGUGGAUAGGGGUGAAAGGCCAAUCAAACUGAGAGAUAGCUCGUUCUCCCCGAAAUGUUUUUAGGAACAGCCUCGGAUAUAGACGUGUUAUAGAGGUAGAGCUACUAAUUGGGCUAGGGGGCUUCACCGCCUACCAAACCCUAAUAAACUCCGAAUGCUAUAACAUAAUCUCCGGGAGUGAGGCUGUGGGCGCUAAGGUCCAUGGCCGAGAGGGAAAUAACCCAGACUAACAGCUAAGGUCCCUAAUGAUACGUUAAGUUGAUCAAACGCGGUUCAAAUCCUAAAACAGCCAGGAUGUUGGCUUGGAAGCAGCCAUUCAUUUAAAGAGUGCGUAACAGCUCACUGGUCGAGGGUUUGGGCACGGAAAAUAAUCGGGCAUCAAACGUAUAACCGAAGCUUUAGGCCUAAUACUUAGGUAUUAGACGGUAGGGGAGCAUUCUAAACUGCAUUGAAGGUGUGUUGCGAAACAUGCUGGAGCGUUUAGAAAAGAAAAUGUAGGCAUAAGUAACGAUAAAUAAGAUGAAAAAUCUUAUCGCCGUAAGACUAAGGGUUCCUGAUCAACGCUAAUCGGAUCAGGGUUAGUCGGGUCCUUAGGCAAAGCCGAAAGGCGUAGCUGAUGGCAAACUGGUGAAUAUUCCAGUACCUGCUAUAAAUUCGAUGGAGUAACGGAGUAGUGAAAGGACCGCGCACUUACGGAAUAGUGCGUUAAAGGGUGUAGGUAUAGGUUUGGUAGGAAAAUCCGCCAGACUUGCUGAAACCUGAUAGUACAGCAAAGCUUCGGCCGCGCUGAUAGUGUCCCUAAUCAGACUUCCAAGAAAAACUUCUAAGGUUCGUUUAUAGCAGCCCGUACCGUAAACCGACACAGGUAGUCGAGAAGAGUAUUCUCAGGCGCUCGAGUGAUCCGUGGUAAAGGAACUAGGCAAAUUGACGCUGUAACUUCGGGAUAAGGCGUGCCGCAGUAAUGCGGCCUCAGUAAAAUGGUACAACCAACUGUUUAACAAAAACACAGGGCCCUGCAAAAUCGCAAGAUGACGUAUAGAGCCUGAUACCUGCCCGGUGCUGGAAGGUUAAGGAAGGAUGUUCGGCGCAAGCCAAAGCUUCUGACUGAAGCCCCAGUAAACGGCGGCCGUAACUAUAACGGUCCUAAGGUAGCGAAAUUCCUUGUCGGGUAAGUUCCGACCUGCACGAAUGGUCUAAUGAGUUGUACACUGUCUCUACCACGAGCUCGGUGAAAUUGUAGUAUCGGUGAAGAUGCCGGUUAAUCGCAACGGGACGGAAAGACCCCGUGAACCUUCACUACAACUUAACAUUGAUUUUGAAUGCCAGAUGUGUAGGAUAGUUGGGAGACUAUGAAGCAGCUUCGCCAGGAGUUGUGGAGUCAUCGUUGAAAUACCAACCUUCUGUUAUUUAGAGUCUAAUCCUGCAAGGGAGACAUUGUUUGGUGGGUAGUUUGACUGGGGUGGUCGCCUCCUAAAAGGUAACGGAGGCUCGCAAAGGUACCCUCAGUACGGUUGGUAAUCGUACGCAGAGCGCAUUAGUAUAAGGGUGCUUGACUGUGAGGCAAACAAGCCGAGCAGGUGCGAAAGCAGGCUAAAGUGAUCCGGUGGUUCUGUAUGGAAGGGCCAUCGCUCAAAGGAUAAAAGGUACUCCGGGGAUAACAGGCUGAUCUCACCCAAGAGCUCAUAUCGACGGUGAGGUUUGGCACCUCGAUGUCGGUUCGUCACAUCCUGGGGCUGGAGAAGGUCCCAAGGGUUCGGCUGUUCGCCGAUUAAAGUGGCACGUGAACUGGGUUCAGAACGUCGCAAGACAGUUCGGUCCCUAUCUGUUGUGAUCGUUAGUAAAUUGAGAGGACAUGACCUUAGUACGAGAGGACCGGGUUGUACAUACCGCUGGUGUAUCUGUUGUGCCGCCAGGUGCAGUGCAGAGUAGCUAUGUAUGGAUAGGAUAAACGCUGAAAGCAUCUAAGCGUGAAACCUGCUUCAAGAUGAGUUUACUUUUAAGGGCCGUCGGAGACUACGACGUUGAUAGGUUACAGGUGUAAGGGUGGUAACAUCGCAGCCGAGUAAUACUAAUUGCCCGUAAGCUUUAAUUUU
rnacentral:rRNA from 1 species